CUCGGCUCUCGCAUCGAUGAAGAACGUAGCGAAAUGCGAUACUUGGUGUGAAUUGCAGAAUCCCGUGAACCAUCGAGUCUUUGAACGCAAGUUGCGCCCGAAGCCGUCAGGCCGAGGGCACGUCUGCCUGGGCGUCACGCAUCGCGUCGCCCCCCUUCCCGCGACC
rnacentral:rRNA from 1 species